UCCUAUUCUGGCCACACAAGACAUGCC
rnacentral:piRNA from 1 species